rnacentral:rRNA from 1 species
CACCGCGGUUAUACGAGAGGCCCAAGUUGACAAUUACCGGCGUAAAGAGUGGUUAUGGAAUAAUAUUUAAUAAAGCCGAACACCCCCUCAGCUGUCAUACGCACCUGGGGGCACGAAGCUCCACUGCGAAAGCAGCUUUAAUAGCCCUGAACCCACGACAGCUAUGAAA